GACUUAAGCAUAUCAAUAAGCGGAGGAAAAGAAACCAACAGGGAUUGCCUUAGUAACGGCGAGUGAAGCGGCAACAGCUCAAAUUUGAAAUCUGGCCCUUGGGUCCGAAUUGUAAUUUGUAGAGGAUGAUUUUGGUGCGGUAUCUUCCGAGUUCCUUGGAACAGGACGCCUUAGAGGGUGAGAGCCCCGUACGGUUGAAUGCCUAGCCUCUGUAAAUCUCCUUCGACGAGUCGAGUAGUUUGGGAAUGCUGCUCUAAAUGGGAGGUAAAUUUCUUCUAAAGCUAAAUAUUGGCCAGAGACCGAUAGCGCACAAGUAGAGUGAUCGAAAGAUGAAAAGCACUUUGAAAAGAGGGUUAAAUAGCACGUGAAAUUGUUGAAAGGGAAGGAUUUGUGACCAGACUUUUUCUGGGCGGAUCAUCCGGGGUUCUCUCCGGUGCACUUCGCCCAGUAAAGGCCAGCAUCGGUUUUCGGCGUGGGAUAAAAGCAGUAGGAAUGUGGCUCUCUACGGGGAGUGUUAUAGCCUAUUGUAUAAUACCGCGCUGGGGACCGAGGUUCGCGCUUCUGCAAGGAUGCUGGCGUAAUGGUUAUCAAUCACCCGUCUUGAAACACGGACCAAGGAGUCGAACAUUUGUGCGAGUGUUUGGGUGUUAAACCCUCACGCGUAAUGAAAGUGAACGGAGGUGAGAGCCCUUACGGGUGCAUCAUCGACCGAUCCUGAAGUUUUCGGAUGGAUUUGAGUAAGAGCAUAACUGUUCGGACCCGAAAGAUGGUGAACUAUGCGUGGAUAGGGUGAAGCCAGAGGAAACUCUGGUGGAGGCUCGCAGCGGUUCUGACGUGCAAAUCGAUCGUCAAAUCUGCGCAUGGGGGCGAAAGACUAAUCGAACCAUCUUUUUGUG
rnacentral:rRNA from 1 species